UACGAAGGGUGCAAACGUUGCUCGGAAUUAUUGGGCGUAAAGCGCACGUAGGCGGCUUGGCAAGUCGGAUGUGAAAUCCCUCGGCUCAACCAAGGAAGUGCAUCCGAAACUGCUGAGCUUGAGUACUUAAGAGGAUCGCGGAAUUCCCGGUGUAGAGGUGAAAUUCGUAGAUAUUCGGAAGAACACCAGUGGCGAAGGCGGCUCACUGGACCGGUAUUGACGCUGAGGUGCGAAAGCGUGGGGAGCAAACAGG
rnacentral:rRNA from 1 species